UUAAUCAUUUCACCAUAUUCAUUAAUACAUUUCCUUCCAAAAAUAAUUUUCAUUCCUUCAUUCUUUACUUUUCCCUGGCCGGCCUCAAUAUUACCACAUCGUUUCUUCCCCAUAUUUUCAGCCUAACCUUCCACAACCCCUCAAUAACCCAUCACUUCCAUGAUCGUGACCUAACCUUCCACAACAUUUAUGGACUGAGGCAAUAGAUUCCAGAAACGCUAAGUAAUACAUUUGAUUCUUUUUUGGUUUUUUAUUCUUCUUCUUCAUUUAGGCUUCUCAUUUUCUAUUUUUCCUCUUUUAUUCCGUAAUCUUCCUCUCCUCCUUACAUUCUCUUCUUUUUCCAUUUUAUUCUUCAUCUUUUCAUCUUCUCUUUUUCUCAUUCUUGUUCAAGAUUUUCCGCUUUAAUCCUUAGAUAUUGAAAAUUAAUUUUAGGGAUUGUCAUUCUUUUUAAUAUAUACUGUUUCGUUUUUCAUUCAACAAGUUUUUUUUUUAAAUUAUACCUAAAUUUUGACAUUCUUAUUUAUCAUUUUAUUUUUGAUGUAACAAUCGAUCAUUGCCAUUUAAAGGGAUAGUUUCUAUUGAAUUUGUUGGUAUAAAAUCUACUGCAAAAAGGAAUUGGUGCUAUCGAAUAUUUUGUAAUAAGUCUAAUGUUUAAAACAGUAAAUAAAGAAUUCGGAUAUAAAGUAAAUAGACCAUGUGUCACAACAUCUUAUAAUUUGAAUCUGUUAUUUUUACCUUUUAAAUGGCCAAGUGUUAAAAAACUGUAAUUUGGGUAAAAGGAAUUUCCAAUGUUCUUCAACACCUGUCCAGCCAUGUGCCACGACAUCUUAUGGAAUUCAUUAUCUUUUCCUUUUAGAUGGCUAACUGUCAAAAAUCUGUAAUUUGUAAAAUAAUUUAUACGUAAUUUGUAAAUAUUAUAAUUGCUUAUGUAGGUAUUUACGUCUAUUUUUAAGUUUACGUUAUAGAUCAAAUAUAUUUUAUCUAUUUUGGCAUUCUAUUUAGCAUUAUGUUUUGCUUGUAUAUAUAAAUCUUUAAUAUUUUGCUGAUUUUUUCCUUUAGAAUUUUAAAUGUUGUUUGAUUAUUUUUUUCUUUUUCAGAUCUAAAAUAUUAUUCCAAUCUGUGUCGUCAACAUCAUUAUCUUCUUUAUUCUCACAUAAUGCGCUUCUUUUCUGACUAUGUUUGGAGGGGGGUUCCUUCUUGCUCUUACCCUUAUCCUUUCUAUUGUCAGCGGUGCUAGAUUUUUUUGUUUUGUAAGAAGUAAGCGAAGGUCCACGUGCAUUGCGAGGCAUGUAGCUUGCAAGUGUACCCUUCGUUUUCCAACUGGA
rnacentral:lncRNA from 1 species